rnacentral:lncRNA from 1 species
UAAAACGUAUAUUAUCCACAUGGACAAGUCGGCAAUGCCAGCUCCAUUUUCCACCCACCACCACUGGUACAUGUCCAUUCUUUCAUCCCUUUCUUCACCUGAUGGUGAUGCCCCAACCCAUCUCUACACCUACAACCAUGUCAUGGAUGGAUUCAGUGGCGUGUUAUCGCAGACGCACCUCGACAAACUCCAGAAAAUGCCAGGUCACCUUGCCACGUACCAGGAAACAUUUGGCCACCUGCACACCACCCACACCCCAAAAUUUCUCGGCCUAAAGAAACAAGCUGGGUUAUGGCCAGCUGCAGGUUUUGGUAGUCACGUUAUUGUGGGUGUUAUUGAUACUGGAGUUUGGCCAGAGAGUCCGAGCUUUAAAGAUGACGGCAUGCCUCCAGUGCCUGAGCGAUGGCGCGGUGCCUGUGAAGUGGGUGUUGAGUUUAAUGCUUCUCAUUGCAACAGAAAACUGAUAGGAGCACGCUCAUUCAGCAAAGGGCUGAAGCACUAUGGCUUGAACAUAUCAACAACAUUUGAGUAUGAUUCUCCGAGAGAUUUCUUGGGUCAUGGGACUCAUACAUCAUCAACAAUAGCCGGCAGUCGUGUUCAAAAUGCUAAUUACUUCGGCUACGCUGAAGGCUGACGAUCCUCUUGCUACCAUAGGUUAAAAAAAGAAAAAAAAAGAAAAAAAAAGUUUUAAGAGUAGCUUUCAGUCCCAGAAUUAUUUGAGAGGCCUACUUUUCCCAGAAUUAUUUGAGAGGCUGCUGUUUGACUCAGUCAAUAAUUGCUCCUAUUGAUCUCCAUCGUCCAAUUGGAAUUUCAGUAGUGAGGCAGGAUUGAUGCUUCCAAAAUGAAGAGUAUUAAAAAAGGAAGCAAGAUUAUUUUCACCUUGUUUUCUUCGAACAUUCCAGGCAAGUCGGUCCUUUUUUUUUAUUUUGCUUUUUUUUUUCCUUCGAUUUUUCUCUUGAUCUCCACCAUCAAUUUGUUCUUUUCUUCCAACUUUUCUCUUGAUAACUUCAUCAGCGUACAUUAUACGCUUGUGUUUAAAAGGUUCAGUAGGCUUGCGACUGUGAACUGAAGCAGCAAACUGAGUGCAAACCACACUGUUUUUUAGGCAGAAAACGCGCAGGGGAACAGUGAGUACAGCAUGAUGUACAUCUCCCAAUUUGAGAUAUAAGAUCCCCUCUGUUUCAGCCCUGGCUUUGUAGCCAACACCUUCAAUCUUCAAAAGCCAAAAAAAAUUGGCUUCCAUCCCAGUUAAAGUAAAUUUAUCGUGUAAAUUUCCUCAAUAGCCGUCAUAGCAAGUGCUUGGAACCCCAGGUAAAUCAGUCCUUACAAUAGCUUUACCAAAAAAAAGAAAAAUUGAAAGACAUUGAUGUUUUCAAUGCCAAUGAAUUGUACAUGCAUAGCACGUCUAUACAAGUAUAGAAGAAGCUUUUAGUAUGUAUUUCAAAUGUCAUACCAAUUCAAGUCGGUGACAAGAAUCAUGGGAGCAUUCACAGGCAUCAUUUUGAUGAUCCUCUCUAUUUUACUCUUGGUCUUGUCUGCCGCCUCAGCAUCUAUGUUAAGAGAUCGUAAAACGUAUAUUAUCCACAUGGACAAGUCGGCAAUGCCAGCUCCAUUUUCCACCCACCACCACUGGUACAUGUCCAUUCUUUCAUCCCUUUCUUCACCUGAUGGUGAUGCCCCAACCCAUCUCUACACCUACAACCAUGUCAUGGAUGGAUUCAGUGGCGUGUUAUCGCAGACGCACCUCGACAAACUCCAGAAAAUGCCAGGUCACCUUGCCACGUACCAGGAAACAUUUGGCCACCUGCACACCACCCACACCCCAAAAUUUCUCGGCCUAAAGAAACAAGCUGGGUUAUGGCCAGCUGCAGGUUUUGGUAGUCACGUUAUUGUGGGUGUUAUUGAUACUGGAGUUUGGCCAGAGAGUCCGAGCUUUAAAGAUGACGGCAUGCCCCCAGUGCCUGAGCGAUGGCGCGGCGC